rnacentral:rRNA from 1 species
GACGAACGCUGGCGGCGUGCUUAACACAUGCAAGUCGAACGGAAAGGCCCUGCUUUUGUGGGGUGCUCGAGUGGCGAACGGGUGAGUAACACGUGAGUAACCUGCCCUUGACUUUGGGAUAACUUCAGGAAACUGCGGCUAAUACCGGAUAGGAGCUCCUGAUGCAUGGUGGUGGUUGGAAAGUUUCGGCGGUGGGGGAUGGAUUCGCGGCUUAUCAGCUUGUUGGUGGGGUAGUGGCUUACAAAGGCUUUGACGGGUAGCCUGCCUGAGAGGGGGACCGGCCACAUUGGGACUGAGAGACGGCCCAGACUCCUACGGGAGGCAGCAGUGGGGAAUAUGACACAAUGGGCGGAAGCCUGAUGCAGCAACGCCGCGUGCGUGAUGACGGCCUACGGGUUGUAAACCGCUGUGGCCGGUGACGAAGCGGGAGUGACGGUAAUGAGUAAAGAAGCACCGGCUAACUACGUG